UGCCCGCUGCCCCCAGCCCGCCCGCCGCCGCCGCCGAGAUCUAAAAUUUCCCCCGCGCCGCGAGCAGCGCGCUUCCACCGCCGCCUAAUCCUCAGCCUCGCUGCCUCCUCCACCACCGCGCUCCAAUCGGAUCCAGUUCUUUGCCGGCCAUUACCUGCGCCUCCCCGACUGCCUUUUGCCGCCCCCACCUCCGCCUCCGAGACCUAGAUCCCACCGCCGCACACAUCCCCGCCCAGCUCGCUGGUCGCCUGUACCUCCGCCCCCACUUGACCUAUCCUUCCCGCUCAGCUCGACCGCCUGUUCCUCGUGGAUACUUCCCCCCUCUCCCGCGUCGUUAACCUCCCCGUCGGCAGUCGCGAAGAAAACCCACGCCCGUUACACGAGUCCCCAAUCUUCCUCUACGUCAUCGGCCUCAAGAGUACGAUGUCCAUGCAACCCCGCGAGCCACAACACACCUUGACUGAACUUCUCCAGCUCCUUCGGAAGGUUCUCUGCACUAGUCACAUAUAAAGGCAAGCAGGAGCCUGCAUGGUCGUGAAAGCAUGAGAUGGCUAAGGAUCCCGCUACAUAUUGGGAGAGGUGGUUAGACAACCUUGUACAACAAGUGGAGGAGGAAUUCUGGAAUUACUAUAGAUGGCAAGAAGGCACUGAGGUUGCUGCAAGAAGGGCUGUUCACAACUCAAUCAAAAAAAUAUAGAUGAUAUGAUAUAUGAGGCACGGGUUUAGGCUGUAGUGGACUAUUAAUUUUUUUGUUUUAAAAACAGAGAUAUGUCGGCCGAACGCUUGUAGGACUUAUCUUACUGUGGAUCAGUAUAUGGAGGUAAGCUCCUUCUGUCCUUCAUCAUUUGCCAUGCUUUUGGUGUGCUUUAGACAGAUGGUAGCACUCUUGAAAGGCUUUUUCAGUUUCCUCUAAUCAAGUGGCAGCACGUUGAUGCUUCAUUUUAAGUGGGUCAUGCUAGCUGAACAAAAAACUUAAAUUUUGUGUUCCUUAUACCUAAUUGAGCCUCGACAGUUCUUGUAAUGGUUGCCUGUGAGUGUUUGUUUGAUAAUCUCUGUAUAGGAUUUGAAAUUGAUGUAAGAUAUGUGCUGCUACAGUUUUCUGAAGUAACUAUGCAACUUCAGGGUGAGGUGCUUUUUUUGUUUAGAACUUGAUAUAUUUGUAAUAAACUUGCUGCUAUUGGUAUGUUUGAACUUAUUGCAACUUGAAAUCAUUUCAAUAAACUAGUAUUGACAUUAUCUCCUACUGCCGAUCAGGCCAUUAUUUCUGCUGCAUGCCCAAGUAUUUCCACAUCUUGUUCUGAUGAUAUAGGCUACUUAUUGUUGGUUCAUUGUAGGUCUCUUGAAGCUUUAUAUAAAUGUUUACAUUUGUUCUUACAUAACACUAAAUGGAGCAGAUGACCGAUGUUCACGCUCUGUUUUAGGGGCUUUUGUUGCUCUUCUUGAAAUUACUACCCCUUUUUAUUUGCAGGUUCUUGAUUGGAUUAUGUAUUUUGGGCACUUCGCUGGUGCCAUCUUCCUCGAGGUGAGAGUUGAUGUAUGUGGUGAUGUGCGUGUGAUAUUGUUGUAUGUGCCAGUUUCAUAUACCAUUACCACACUGCUGCAGGAGGGAAAGAAUAUCAGUGAAGGGUUUCUCUAUUAAUGACAUAUUGUCUUGAACAUCCUAGAAGGACGAUGCUCCUGAUGCCUGUAGAACCUUUUGAACCUAAUAAAUCAUGCUAUGUCUGCUCUGAGACCCCUCUUCUGCUGGAUGUCAACACUAAGGCCACGAAGCUUAGGGAGGUUAUCGACAAGAUUAUAAAAAGCAAACUUGGAAUGAUCCUCUCGUUGGUAAUGAUUGGAUCUACACUUGUUUUUGAGGAUGGUGAUGGCUUAGAGGAAGACGAGGCUGCAAACUAUGCUUCAAACCUUGAGAAUGUACUAUCCUCAUAGACUCAUAAUGUUUCCUGUUCAAGGCAAGGGCCAAUGGAACAAUGCACUCCAAUGCCAUUUCUGUCCUUUUUGGACUGUGCCCUUGCGUUUCCAUAUUGUCGAUCAACUAUUACAUGUCUUGACUGAACUGUCAGCUCCAGUAUUAAUGGCACAAAGCUUGCUGUUGAGGAUUUCCGGCAGGAGUUGUCAUGCAACAUUAACAUCAAGCACAGGGAGGAGUUUGAUGAGGAGAAAGAGCCUGACAAAAUGGUUUCAUCUGGAUGGUCUGCUCUUGUGGAGGGACAGAUUAACAGUAAUGGGGAGAACAAAUCGACAGCUUCAUCCUGUGCGCAUUCCACUGAUGACACUAUUGAGGAUCCAUCGACUAAACCUGGGAUGAAGCGCAAGCUGGGUGAAAUGUUGGAAAUAAAGGAAAACUAUCAUGCAUCCAGCAGUGCUUAGGUGUUUUGGUCUAGUUGAUGUGUGGUCUAUGCUAUAGCAGAUUGUAUAUCCUGAUUCAAGUGUUCUAGCAAUUUAGCAAAUUAAGCUAGCCUUUCUUUGAAUUCAUGGCCGGUAUGAAUACGAUGUAUGGUGAAGUUUUGCUGAUUUAUGAAUUAUUUGAGCUAUGGCUGAUAUUAAUCCAGAUUUGGCGUUUUGUUA